CUGAGAUUGGGCAAUUUACAAAAGAAAGAGCUUUUAUUAUUAUUAUUAUUAUUAUACUUUAAGUUCUAGGGUACAUGUGCACAAAGUGCUGGUUUGUUACAUAAGUAUACAUGUGCCAUGUUGGUUUGCUGCCCCCAUCAACUCAUCAUUUACAUUAGGUAUUUCUCCUAAUGCUAUCCCUCCCCCAGCCCCCCACCCUCCAACAGGCCCCAGUGUGUGAUGUUCCUUUCCCUAUACCCAUGUGUUCUCAUUGUUCAACUCCCACUUAUGACUGAGAACAUGCAGUGUUUGGUUUUCUGUCCUUGUGAUAUUUUGCUGAGAAUGAUGGUUUCCAGAUUCACCCGGGUCCCUACAAAGGACGUGAACUCAUCCUUUUUUAUGGCUGCAUAGUAUUUCAUGGUGUAAAUGUGCCACAUUUUCUUUAUCCAGUCUAUCAUUGAUAGACAUUUGGGUAGGUUCCAAAUCUUUGCUAUUGUGAAUAGUGCCACAAUAAACGUACGUGUGCAUGUGUCUUUAUAGUAGCAUGAUUUAUAAUCCUUUGGGUAUAAACCCAGUAAUGGGAUUGCUGGGUCAAAUGGUAUUUCUGGCUCUAGAUCCUUGAGGAAUCACCACACUGUCUUCCACAGUGCUUGAACUAAUUUACACUCCCACCAACAGUGUAAAAGCAUUCCUAUUUCUCCACAUCCUCUCUAGCAUCUGUUGUUUCCUGACUUUUUAAUGAUCGCCAUUCUAACUGGCAUGAGAUGGUAUCUCAUUGUGGUUUUGUUUGCAUUUCUCUGAUCGCCAGUGAUGAUGAGCAUUUUUUCAAAUGUCUGUUGGCUGCAUAAAUGUCUUCUUUUGAGAAGUGUCUGUUCUUAUCCUUUGCCCACAUUUUGAUGGGGUUGUUUGUUUCUUGUAAAUCUUUUUAAGUUCUUUGUAGAUUCUGGAUAUUAGCCCUUUGUCAGAUGGAUAGAUUGCAAACAUUUUCUCCCAUUAUGUAGGUUGCCUGUUGUUUGAUUUUUUUCUUGUAAAUUUGUUUAAGUUCUUUGUAGAUUCUGGAUAUCAGCCCUUUGUCAGAUGGAUAGAUUGCAAACAUUUUCUCCCAUUAUGUAGGUGGCCUGUUCACUCUGAAGAUAUAUUCUUUUACUGUGCAGAAUCUCUUUAACUUAAUUAGAUCCCGUUUGUCAAUUUUGGCUUUUGUUGCCAUUGCUUUUGGUGUUUUAGUCAUGAAGUCUUUGCCAAUGCCUAUGUCCUGAAUGGUAUUGCCCAGGUUUUCUUCUAGGGUUUUUAUGGUUUUAGGUCUAACAUUUAAAUCUUUAAUCCAUUGUGAGUUAAUUUUUGUGUAAGGUGUAAGGAAGGGAUCCAGUUUCAGCUUUCUACAUAUGGCUAACCCGUUUUCCCAGCACCAUUUAUUAAAUAGGGAAUCCUUUCCCCAUUGCUUGUUUUUGUCAGGUUUGUCAAAGAUGAGAUACUUUUAGAUGUGUAGUGUCAUUUCUGAGGUCUCUGUUCUGUUCCAUUUGUCUAUAUAUCUGUUUUGGUGCCAUUAUCGUGCUGUUUUGGUUACUGUAGCCUUGUAGUAUAGUUUGAAGUCAGGUAGCAUGAUGCCUCCAGCUUUUUUCUUUUGGCUUAGGAGUGACUUGGUGAUGCGGGCUCUUUUUUGGUUCCAUAUGAACUUUUAAGUAGUUUUUUCCAAUUCUGUGAAGAAAGUCAUUGGUAGCUUGAUGGGGAUGGCAUUGAAUCUGUAAAGUACCUUGGGCAGUAUGGCCAUUUUCACGAUAUUGAUUCUUCCUACCCAUGAGCAUGGAAUGUUCUUCCAUUUGUUUGUCUCCUCUUUUAUUUCAUUGAGCAGUAGUCUGUAGUUCUCCUUGGAGAGGUCCUUCACAUCCCUUGUAAGUUGGAUUCCUAGGUAUUUUAUUUUCUUUGAAGCAAUUGUGAAUGGAAUUUCACUCAUGAUUUGGCUCUUUGUUUGUCUGUUAUUGGUGUAUAAGAAUGCUUGUGAUUUUUGUACAUUGAUUUUGUAUCCUGAGACUUUGCUGAAGUUGCUUAGCAGCUUAAGGAGAUUUUGGGCUGAGACAAUGGGGUUUUCUAGAUAUACAAUCAUGUCAUCUGCAAACAGGGACAAUUUGACUUCCCCUUUUCCUAAUUGAAUACCCUUUAUUUCCUUCUCCUGCCUAAUUGCCCUGGCCAGAACUUCCAACACUAUGUUGAAUAGGAGUGGUGAGAGAGGGCAUCCCUGCCUUGUGCCAGUUUUCAAAGGGAAUGCUUCCAGUUUUUGCCCAUUCAGUAUGACAUUGGCUGUGGGUUUGUCAUAGAUAGCUCUUAUUAUUUUCAGAUAUGUUCCAUCAAUGCUUAGUUUAUUGAGAGUCUUUAGCAUGAAGGGUUGCUGAAUUUUGUCAAAGGCCUUUUCUUCUUCUAUUGAGAUAAUCAUGUGGUUUUCAUCUUUGGUUCUGUUUAUAUGCUGGAUUACAUUUGUUGAUUUGCCUAUAUUGAACCAGCCUUGCAUCCCAGGGAUGAAGCCCACUUGAUCAUGGUGGAUAAGCUUUUUGAUGUGCUGCUAGAUUUGGUUUGCCAGUAUUUUAUUGAGGAUUUUUGCAUCAAUGUUCAUCAAGGAUAUUGGUCUAAAAUUCCCUUUUUUGGUUGUGUCUCUGCCAGGCUUUGGUAUCAGGAUGAUGCUGGCCUCAUAAAAUGAGUUAGGGAGGAUUCCCUCUUUUUCUAUUCAGUGGAAUAGUUUCAGAAGGAAUGGUACCAGUUCCUCCUUGUACCUCUCGUAGAAUUCGGCUGUGAAUCCAUCUGGUCCUGGAUUCUUUUUGGUUGGUAAGCUAUUGAUUAUUGCCACAAUUUCAGAUCCCAUUAUUGGUCUUUUCAGAGAUUCAACUUCUUCCUGAUUUAGUCUUGGGAGGUUGUAUGUGUCGAGGAAUUUAUCCAUUUCUUCUAGAUUUUCUAGUUUAUUUGAGUAGAGGUCUUUAUAUUAUUCUCUGAUGGUAGUUUGUAUUUCUGGGGGAUUGGUGGUGAUAUCCCCUUUAUCAUUUUUUAUUGCGUGUAUUUGAUUCUUCUCUCUUUUCUUCUUUAUUUGUCUUGCUAGCAGUCUAUCAAUUUUGUUGAUACUUUCACAAAACCAGCUGCUGGAUUCAUUAAUUUUUUGAAGAGUUUUUUUGUGUUUCUAUGUCCUUCAGUUCUGCUCUGAUUUUAGUUAUUUCUUGCCUUCUGCUAGCUUCGGAUUGUGUUUGCUCUUGCUUUUCUAGUUCUUUUAAUUGUGAUGUUAGGGUGUCAAUUUUGGAUCUUUCCUGCUUUCUCUUGUGGGCAUUUAGUGCUAUAAAUUUCCCUCUACACACUGCUUUGAAUGUGUCCCAGAGAUUCUGGUAUGUUGUGUCUUUGUUCUCGUUGGUUUCAAAGAACAUCUGUAUUUUUGCCUUCAUUUCGUUAUAUACCCAGUAGUCAUUCAGGUGCAGGUUGUUCAGUUUCCAUGUAGUUGAGCGGUUUUGAGUGAGUUUCUUAAUCCUGAGUUCUAGUUUGAUUGCACUGUGGUCUGAGAGACGGUUUGUUAUAAUUUCUGAUCUUUUACAUUUGCUGAGGAGUGCUUUACUUCCAACUAUGUGGUCAAUUUUGGAAUAGGUGUGAUGUGGUGCUGAAAAAAAUGUAUAUUCUGUUGAUUUGGGGUGGAGAGUUCUGUUGAUGUCUAUUAGGUCUGCUUGGUGCAGAGCUGCAUUGAAUUCCUGGGUAUCCUUGUUAACUUUCUGUCUCGUUGUUCUGUCUAAUGCUGACAGUGGGGUGUUAAAGUCUCCCAAUAUUAUUGUGUGGGAGUCUAAGUCUCUUUGUAGGUCACUCAGGACUUGCUUUAUGAAUCUGGGUGCUCCUGUAUUGGCUGCAUAUAUAUUUAGGAUAGUUAGCUCUUCUUGUUGAAUUGAUCCCUUUACCAUUAUGUAAUGGCCUUCUUUGUCUCUUUUGAUCUUUGUUGGUUUAAAGUCUGUUUUAUCCGAGAGUAGGAUUGCAACCCCUGCCUUUUUUUGUUUUCGAUUUGCUUGGUAGAUCUGCCUCCAUACUUUUAUUUUGAGCCUAUGUGUGUCUCUGCAUGUGAGAUGGGUUUCCUGAAUACAGCACACUGAUGGGUCUUGAUUCUUUAUCCAAUUUGCCAUUCUGUGUCUUUUAAUUGGAGCCUUUAGUCCAUUUACAUUUAAAGUUAAUAUUGUUAUGUAUGAAUUUGAUCCUGUCAUUAUGAUGUUAGCUGGUUAUUUUGCUCAAUAAUUGAUGCAGUUUCUUCCUAGCCUCGCUGGUCUUUACAAUUUGCUAUGAUUUUCCAGUGGCUGGUGCUGGUUGUUCCUUUCCAUGUUUAGUGCUUCCUUCAGGAGCUCUUUUAGGGCAGGCCUGGUUGUGACAAAAUCUCUCAGCAUUUGCUUGUCUGUAAAGUAUUUUAUUUCUCUUUCACUUAUGAAGCUGAGUUUGGCUGGAUAUGACAUUCUGGGUUGAAAAUUCUUUUGAUUAAGAAUGUUGAAUAUUGGCCCCCACUCUCUUCUGGUUUGUAGAGUUUCUGCCGAGAGAUCCGCUCUUAGUCUGAUGGAUUUCCCUUUGUGGGUAACCCGACCUUUCUCUCUGGCUGCCCUUAAUAUUUUUUCCUUCAUUUCAACUUUGGUGAAUCUGACAAUUAUGUGUCUUGGUGUUGCUCUUUUCGAGGAGUAUCUUUGUGGCGUUCUCCGUAUUUCCUGAAUCUAAACGUUGGCCUGCCUUGCUAGAUUGGGGAAGUUCUCCUGGAUAAUAUCCUGCAGAGUGUUUUCCAACUUGGUUCCAUUCUCCCUGUCACUUUCAGGUACACCAGUCAGACGUAGAUUUGGUCUUUUCACGUAGUCCCCUAUUUCUUGGAGGCUUUGUUCAUUUUUUUAAUUCUUUUUUCUCUAAACUUCCCUUCUCACUUCAUUUCAUCUUCCAUCACUGAUAUGCUUUCUUCCAGUUGAUCGCAUUGGCUCCUGAGGCUUCAGCAUUCUUCACGUAGUUCUCGAGCCUUGGCUUUCAGCUCCAUCAGCUCCUUUAAGUCCUUCUCUGUAUUGGUUAUUGUAGUUAUAAGUUCUUCUAAAUUUUUUCAAUGUUUUCAACUUCUUUGCCUUUGGUUUGAAUUUCCUCUUGUAGCUGAGAGUAGUUUGAUUGUCUGAAGCCUUCUUCUCUCAACUCGUCAAAGUCAUUCUCCAUCCAGCUUUGUUCCGUUGCUGGUGAGGAGCUUCGUUCCUUUGGAGGAGGAGAGGCACUCUGCUUUUUAGAGUUUCCAGUUUUUCUGCUCUGUUUUUUCCCCAUCUUUGUGGUUUUGUCUAGUUUUGGUCUUUGAUGAUGGUGAUGUGCAGAUGGGUUUUUAGUGUGGAUGUCCUUUCUGUUUCUUAUUUUUCCUUCUAACAGACAGGACCCCCAGCUGCAGGUCUGUUGGCGUUUUCUAGAGGUCCACUCUAGACCCUGUUUGCCUGGGUACCAGCAGAGGUGGCUGCAGAACAGCAGAUUUUCGUGAACCGAGAAUGCUGCUGUUUGAUUGUUCCUCUGGAAAUUUUGUCUCGGAGGAGUACCCGGCCGUGUGAGGUGUCAGUCUGCCCCUACUGGGGGGUGCCUCCCAUUUAGGCUGCUCGGGGGUCAGGGGUCAGGGACCCACUUAAGGAGGCAGUCUGCCCAUUCUCAGAUCUCCAGCUGCGUGCUGGGAAAACCACUGCUCUGUUCAAAGCUGUCAGACAGGGACAUUUAAGUCUGCGGCGGUUACUGCUGUCUUUUUGUUUGUGCCCUGCCCCCAGAGGUGCAGCCUACAGAUGCAGGCAGGCCUCCUUGAGCUGUGGUGGGC
rnacentral:lncRNA from 1 species